rnacentral:rRNA from 1 species
UACGGAGGGAGCUAGCGUUAUUCGGAAUUACUGGGCGUAAAGCGUACGUAGGCGGCUUUGCAAGUUAGAGGUGAAAGCCUGGAGCUCAACUCCAGAACUGCCUUUAAAACUGCAUCGCUUGAAUCCAGGAGAGGUGAGUGGAAUUCCGAGUGUAGAGGUGAAAUUCGUAGAUAUUCGGAAGAACACCAGUGGCGAAGGCGGCUCACUGGACCGGUAUUGACGCUGAGGUGCGAAAGCGUGGGAGCAAACAGG